rnacentral:rRNA from 1 species
CAUGCAAGUCGAACGGCAGCGCGGGAGCAAUCCUGGCGGCGAGUGGCGAACGGGUGAGUAAUACAUCGGAACGUGCCCAAUCGUGGGGGAUAACGCAGCGAAAGCUGUGCUAAUACCGCAUACGAUCUAAGGAUGAAAGCCGGGGACCGCAAGGCCUGGCGCUGAUAGAUGAGCCCAAGUCGGAUUAGCUAGUUGGUAGGGUAACGGCCUACCAAGGCGACGAUCCGUAACUGGUCUGAGAGGACGACCAGUCACACCGGAACUGAGACACGGUCCGGACUCCUACGGGAGGCAGCAGUGGGGAAUAUUGGACAAUGGGGGCAACCUUGAUCCAGCGACGCCGCGUGGGUGAAGAAGGCCUGCGGGUUGUAAAGCCCUUUCGGUGGGGAAGAAAAGUCUCGGCCUAAUACGCUGGGACCUUGACGUAACCCACUAAAGAAGCACCGGCUAACUCUGUGCCAGCAGCCGCGGUAAUACAGAGGGUGCGAGCGUUAAUCGGAAUUACUGGGCGUAAAGCGCGCGUAGGCGGCUUUUCAAGUCGGAUGUGAAAAUCCCCGGGCUUAACCUGGGAACUGCAUUCAAGACUGUCUAGCUAGAGUAUGGGAGANGGAANUGGAAUUUCAGGGUGUUACCGUGAAAUGCCUAGAUAUCCUGANGGACAUCAGUGGCGGAAUGCGAUUUCUCUGGACAAUAACUGAAGGCUA